CUGGGCCUUUUUGGGAGCCUGAGCUAUUGUAGUACUGGGGAUGGGGGUUUGGGUUUUUGUUUCCCUAAAAGUAGAACCAUUGGGGGGGAUCUCUUAUCUCACAGUUGUUGUUGUUUUGAUAUCUUAAUUAAUUACAACUUGAGAAGAAAACCUUGUGUAACUUAGGAACUGACUUGCACUGGUUACACUGAAAGUGCCAAGGAGUUGUAGUGUCCACUGGAUUGUUUGUAUUGAAGCAGUUUGGUGUUUACAGAGGGAUAAUAACUCCUGUCAGCAGCAAGGUCCUGACUGAAGUGGCAGCUGCAGUUGUUCCUGUGGUGUGGGCCAGUGGAAUUCCAAGAAAUGGACAAGGACAGAAGCUGUAAGAAUUACCCCUAAGCCAGAGUCUCUCCUGGCAGAAGAGCCCAGGCCUGAGCUGGCUGAGUGUUGGUGUGAGCCAGAGUGGGUGUCCCUGCCCUGGGGCCAGUCCCCAGAGCUGCCUUUGGCAUCCCCUGCUGAAGGGUGGGAGCUGCCCAGAGCCAGCAGCAUCCAGCUGGAGGAUCCAGGAGGAUGCAGCUCUGCUUUGCUGGGAGCUUGUCCAGGAGAUGGAAUUCCAGUGCUACAGUCUGGGUGGGUCAUGGUGCUCCCAAAAGGAGCCUUUGUGCCUUCAGGACAAGUUUUGGUGCCACUGGAGCUGCUGGGAGAAGCAUAGGGUUGGCAGUGAGAGGCCUGGAAUGAUGUUGGUGUGGUACAGAAGAAAUG